GGCCGAGGGUCCUGCGUGGGUGCGGGCGUGUGAGUGUGUGUGUGUGAGUGUGUGUCGCUCCAGUCCACGCUCAUGCACACACCCACACGCCCGCACGCCGGGUCUGCCCCCUCGGCC
rnacentral:pre_miRNA from 13 species